GCCUCCCCACUUCCCCUCUCCCGGCAGCAGACGGCAAUGUAGAGCAAAGGGGGAAGGGGCCGGCUUCAUCGGCGGUGCUGCGUGAGGGCCUGAUGCCGCGGCGACCCCACGGAGAUGGGAGAUCCUCCGAUCUCCCGCGACCCUCGAUCGAGCGCUCUCCGACCUCGACGCAAUCCGCGUGGUCCGAACCUGCUAGGGGAUCGAGUCUGACCCCCGGCAUCGUCCUCCGCCUUCGCAGACAAGUCCCCGAGGUCUCAGCACUUCUACGCCCUCCUCUAUUCACGCAUGAACGGUGGAGCAAGGAAGGAGUUGUUCGACUAUUAAUCGCGUGGUCUUUCUAAUAAUUUAGGCCGUUUUGGACGGAGGUUGGGGAGGAGACCUGAGACCGUAGGCUGCGUCGGCUGCCAGGUCGUGCUUGUGUUCUCAUCAGAAAAUUAAUUAAUCUGCUCCUGCCGAGAAAUUUCUCCGGUAUGAUGCAAACUCACCUAUUUUGUACUCCCUCCGUUCCGAAAUUUUAGUGCUAGAUACAUCCGUAUUUAGACAAAUCUAAGACAAGUAAUUCAGAACAGAGGGAGUACCUGCUGGGCUGCUGGGUGAUUUUGUGACUGAUUGCUCCAUAUGAUCUCUUCUCAGAAGAUUUUGAGGUCAUUGACCUUGAUCAAGGCAUAUGGCAUGGAGCAACCUGUUGAUGUUGAUAGCCUAAAUUACUAGACUAAGUAAACUACAGCUGCUAUACGGCUACGAAUACACUUGCACACAGUUGAACUGGAGUGGCUCGCGUACACUACAACUAGCAGCUGAAUGCUCUAUUACUUGGAUCAGAUGCUCCUUUUAUAUGACAUAUUCAAAACCGACCUAGUAGCUGAUGGCCUCACUACUUAGGUCCUAGCUUCUGAACUUUUAUCCUGACAGCUUAACCUAUCUGGCAUGCUGCAGGAGAUAGCCUCUUUUCUUGACUUUUGUUGCUUCUUGUUCUUACUAGCUGUGAAUAUUUUGAUAGGAAAAGCAACUUGAUUAUUUCAACAAUUAUUCCCCUCAUCUACGGCAGCCCGGAGAGAGGGUUUAAUGCGCAGAUGUUGUUGACAUAUCUCCUCUACUUGAUCAUGUAUGCUCUUGUUUCAGACUUUUGUUCAUAUCUGUGCACAUAUACGCAUGUUCUUAUGUUGUUGUGAGCACUUAUCAAUGAAAAAAAUAGCU